rnacentral:lncRNA from 10 species
ACCUCACUGCCUUGACAUUCAGAAAAGAGUGAAAUAAAGAAACCCUCGCAGCGCAGGAAAUAACUGGAUUCCACCUUCAAGGUUAUUGAGGUUCCUCCCUCUCUCUCCACGCCCCCAGUCAAACCCUGAAAUCCUAAGGCUGGGGGCAAGCCCUUCCCCAACCUGCCAAAGGAAAGGAGCCAGGGCUGCUGCCUUCUGGCCGCUUUUCUGCCUCCAGUCCCAAAAGGAAUUUCUCUGGACAGAUGUGACUGCAGCGGCCCAAGGCCCCCCUUCUCCUCCUCCUCCCAUCCCACUGGGCGGGCUUGGGAAGGUACAAUCAACCAUGAACAUAAAUAUGAAUAAAAAAUGAACUUGAAAAUGACAAGCUA